rnacentral:rRNA from 1 species
GACGAACGCUGGCGGCGUGCUUAACACAUGCAAGUCGAACGGAAAGGCCCUGCUUUUGUGGGGUGCUCGAGUGGCGAACGGGUGAGUAACACGUGAGUAACCUGCCCUUGACUUUGGGAUAACUUCAGGAAACUGGGGCUAAUACCGGAUAGGAGCUCCUGCUGCAUGGUGGGGGUUGGAAAGCUUCGGCGGUUGGGGAUGGACUCGCGGCUUAUGAGCUUGUUGGUGAGGUAGUGGCUUACCAAGGCUUGGACGGGUAGCCGGCCUGAGAGGGUGACCGGCCACAUGGGGACUGAGAUACGGCCCAGACUCCUACGGGAGGCAGCAGUGGGGAAUAUUGCACAAUGGGCGGAAGCCUGAUGCAGCAACGCCGCGUGCGGGAUGACGGCCUUCGGGUUGUAAACCGCUUUCGCCUGUGACGAAGCGUGAGUGACGGUAAUGGGUAAAGAAGCACCGGCUAACUACGUG